GACGGGGGAACCAAGCGUUGUUCGGAAUCAUUGGGCGUAAAGCGGGUGUAGGUGGCUUUGUAAGUCAUAUGUGAAAUCCCUGGGCUCAACCCAGGACGUGCAUGUGAUACUGCUUAGCUUGAGUGUGAUAGAGGCUAGUAGAAUUCCUGGUGUAGUGGUGAAAUACGUAGAUAUCAGGAGGAAUACCGGAGGCGAAGGCGGCUAGCUGGAUCAACACUGACACUGAGACCCGAAAGCGUGGGGAUCAAACAGG
rnacentral:rRNA from 1 species